rnacentral:rRNA from 1 species
UACGUAGGGAGCAAGCGUUGUUCGGAUUUACUGGGCGUAAAGGGCGUGUAGGCGGUUUGUUAAGUCAUGUGUGAAAUCCCUCGGCUCAACCGAGGAAAGACGCAUGAAACUGGCAGCUAGAGUACCGAAGAGGGGGUGGAAUUCCCGGUGUAGCGGUGAAAUGCGCAGAUAUCGGGAAGAACACCCGUGGCGAAGGCGGUUCUCUGGGACGGUACUGACGCUGAGACGCGAAAGCGUGGGGAGCGAACAGG